rnacentral:rRNA from 1 species
UUGAACGCUGGCGGCAUGCCUUACACAUGCAAGUCGAACGGCAGCACGGACUUCGGUCUGGUGGCGAGUGGCGAACGGGUGAGUAAUGCAUCGGAACGUACCCGGAAGUGGGGGAUAACUAUCCGAAAGGAUGGCUAAUACCGCAUAUUCUGUACGCAGGAAAGAGGGGGAUCUUCGGACCUCUUGCUUUCGGAGCGGCCGAUGUCAGAUUAGCUAGUUGGUGGGGUAAAGGCCUACCAAGGCGACGAUCUGUAGCGGGUCUGAGAGGAUGAUCCGCCACACUGGAACUGAGACACGGUCCGGACUCCUACGGGAGGCAGCAGUGGGGAAUUUUGGACAAUGGGCGCAAGCCUGAUCCAGCCAUGCCGCGUGAGUGAAGAAGGCCUUCGGGUUGUAAAGCUCUUUCGGCCGGGAAAAAAUCGGUGAGGCUAAUAUCCUCAUCGGAUGAUGGUACCGGACUAAGAAGCACCGGCUAACUACGUGCCAGCAGCCGCGGUAAUACGUAGGGUGCGAGCGUUAAUCGGAAUUACUGGGCGUAAAGCGUGCGCAGGCGGUUUUUUAAGACAGGCGUGAAAUCCCCGGGCUUAACCUGGGAACUGCGUUUGUGACUGGAAGGCUAGAGUACGGCAGAGGGGGGUGGAAUUCCACGUGUAGCAGUGAAAUGCGUAGAGAUGUGGAGGAACACCAAUGGCGAAGGCAGCCCCCUGGGUCGAUACUGACGCUCAUGCACGAAAGCGUGGGGAGCAAACAGGAUUAGAUACCCUGGUAGUCCACGCCCUAAACGAUGUCAACUAGGUGUUGGGUGGGUAAAACCAUUUAGUACCGGAGCUAACGCGUGAAGUGACCCGCC